rnacentral:rRNA from 1 species
CUACGGGGCGCGCAGUGGGGAAUAUUGCACAAUGGGGGAAACCCUGAUGCAGCCAUGCCGCGUGUGUGAAGAAGGCCUUCGGGUUGUAAAGCACUUUCAGUCAGGAGGAAGGGGUGAUGGCUAAUAUCCAUCAUCAUUGACGUUACUGACAGAAGAAGCACCGGCUAACUCCGUGCCAGCAGCCGCGGUAAUACGGAGGGUGCAAGCGUUAAUCGGAAUAACUGGGCGUAAAGCGCACGCAGGCGGUUGGAUAAGCGAGAUGUGAAAGCCCCGGGCUCAACCUGGGAACUGCAUUUCGAACUGUCCGACUAGAGUCUUGUAGAGGGGGGUAGAAUUCCAGGUGUAGCGGUGAAAUGCGUAGAGAUCUGGAGGAAUACCGGUGGCGAAGGCGGCCCCCUGGACAAAGACUGACGCUCAGGUGCGAAAGCGUGGGGAGCAAACAGGAUUAGAUACCCCGGUAGUC